rnacentral:lncRNA from 1 species
UGGCACCGGAAACGGAAACUAUUCUGCCGGGAUUCUAAUCUGCCUUGCCUGCCUGUGCUUCCCGAUUCUUUAUUUUAAAAAAAAAGCAUGAAAUCAUCCUGGGACGUUCUAAAGUCCAGCAAGGCGGACAGAAGAAAAGAAGACUUUCUUACCCGCCAGCGCCCUUCUGCAGGACCACUAAUCCCAGAAGUCACUGCGGCGCCCUAGGGACUAUGGGAUUUGUAAUAAAGACACCAGACGAAGCGCCCUCUAACUGCAGCCGGGAAUGGACUCCCGUGUUUGAGGUUGUGCUUUGCAAUACACACAGUCCUCAGGGUCUCUCUACAGAGCUGACUGUCCUGAAACCAUUAUGUAGACCAGAUUGGCUAUGAACUAACAGGAUCUCCCUGGCUCCACCUUCCAAGUGCUGGGAUUAAAGGCGUGGACCACCACACCCAGCUUCAACAGGACUUCUAGCAUAAGGAGUCAGUGGCAAGGAAUCCAGCUCAAAGUCCCAUGUGCCCUAAUGUUUUCUACUUAUUAUUCGUCUUUAGUUCCUUCUACUUUGAGUAUCAGAAAAACGUGUACUCUAGACAUCAGAAGAUCAAAGAACUAAGGAAAACAAAAAUAAAGAAACACUGAUGACAGAGUACGGUGGGUGCUGUCAGCAACACACAAGGCCCAUAAAACAAAAAGAUGGAGAGACAGCGGCCAUCAAGAGGAAUGUAUGGACAGCAGAUGAAAACUCAGCAAAAGAGAGAAAAGCAAAACCAAAUCCUAGAGGAGAAAAUGAACGCAAGUGCACAGCGGAACCCUGGGAACGCUGAGCAGUGGGUGCACCAUGACUUUCUGAAGCAAUGAGGGGCGGACGGAAACAAGACAGCAGGCCUGUGCAGAAAGCUGUAGGUACCACCAAGGGGGAGUAAGACCUGUAGCUCCUCG